CUACGACCAUAUCACGUUGAAAACUCCGGUUCUCGUCCGAUCACCGAAGUUAAGCAACGUCUAGCUCGGUUAGUACUUGGAUUGGUUACCGCCUGGGAAUACCGGAUGU
rnacentral:rRNA from 1 species